rnacentral:rRNA from 1 species
CCUACGGGAGGCAGCAGUAAGGAAUAUUGGUCAAUGGACGCAAGUCUGAACCAGCCAUGCCGCGUGAAGGAUGAAUGCCCUCUGGGUUGUAAACUUCUUUUAUAGGGGACGAAAAAGGGUCUUUUUAGAUCAACUGACGGUACCCUAGGAAUAAGCACCGGCUAACUCCGUGCCAGCAGCCGCGGUAAUACGGAGGGUGCAAGCGUUAUCCGGAUUUACUGGGUUUAAAGGGUGCGUAGGUGGGUUGGUAAGUCAGCGGUGAAAUCUUCGAGCUUAACUCGGAAACUGCCAUUGAUACUAUCAGCCUUGAAUAUCCUGGAGGUGAGCGGAAUAUGUCAUGUAGCGGUGAAGUGCUUAGAUAUGACAUAGAACACCAAUUGCGAAGGCAGCUCACUACGGGAUUAUUGACACUGAGGCACGAAAGCGUGGGGAUCAAACAGGAUUAGAUACCCUGGUAGUCCACGCCCUAAACGAUGGAUACUCGACAUUUGCGAUAUACAGUAAGUGUCUGAGCGAAAGCAUUAAGUAUCCCACCUGGGAAGUACGAUCGCAAGAUUGAAACUCAAAUGAAUUGACGG